AGAGUUUGAUCAUGGCUCAGAUUGAACGCUGGCGGCGUGCCUAACACAUGCAAGUCGAGCGGUAACAGGCGUAGCAAUACGUGCUGACGAGCGGCGAACGGGUGAGCAAUGCUUCGGAAUCUGCCCAAUGGUGGGGAAUAACCAGUCGAAAGAUUGGCUAAUACCGCAUACGCCCUUCGGGGGAAAGCGGGGGUCGCAAGACCUCGCGCCGAUGGAUGAGCCGAAGUCGGAUUAGCUAGUUGGUAGGGUAACGGCCUACCAAGGCGACGAUCCGUAGCUGGUCUGAGAGGACGACCAGCCACACUGGGACUGAGGCACGGCCCAGACUCCUACGGGAGGCAGCAGUGGGGAAUAUUGGACAAUGGGGGCAACCCUGAUCCAGCGACGCCGCGUGUGUGAAGAAGGCCUGCGGGUUGUAAAGCACUUUUAGUGGGGAUGAAAAGCACAUUGCUAAUACCAGUGUGUCUUGACCUAACCCAAAGAAAAAGCACCGGCUAACUCUGUGCCAGCAGCCGCGGUAAUACAGAGGGUGCGAGCGUUAAUCGGAAUUACUGGGCGUAAAGCGUGCGUAGACGGUUAUUUAAGUCGGGUGUGAAAGCCCCGGGCUCAACCUGGGAAUUGCAUUCGAGACUGAAUAGCUAGGGUACGGUAGAGGGAAGUGGAAUUUCCGGUGUAGCGGUGAAAUGCGUAGAUAUCGGAAGGAACAUCAGUGGCGAAAGCGACUUCCUGGACCAGUACCGACGUUCAGGCACGAAAGCGUGGGGAGCAAACAGGAUUAGAUACCCUAGUAGUCC
rnacentral:rRNA from 1 species